rnacentral:rRNA from 1 species
CCUACGGGUGGCAGCAGUGAGGAAUAUUGGUCAAUGGGCGCGAGCCUGAACCAGCCAAGUAGCGUGAAGGAUGACUGCCCUACGGGUUGUAAACUUCUUUUAUCAAGGAGUAAAGUGAGGCACGUGUGCCUUUUUGUGUGUACUCUAUGAAUAAGGAUCGGCUAACUCCGUGCCAGCAGCCGCGGUAAUACGGAGGAUCCGAGCGUUGUCCGGAUUUAUUGGGUUUAAAGGGAGCGUAGAUGGGUUGUUAAGUCAGUUGUGAAAGUUUGGGGCUCAACCGUAAAAUUGCAUUUGAUACUGGCAGCCUUGAGUACAGUAGAGGUAGGCGGAAUUCGUGGUGUAGCGGUGAAAUGCUUAGAUAUCACGAAGAACUCCGAUUGCGAAGGCAGCCUACUAAACUGCCACUGACAUUGAUGCUCGAAAGUGUGGGUAUCAAACAGGAUUAGAUACCCGGGUAGUC